AUUGAACGCUGGCGGCAGGCCUAACACAUGCAAGUCGAACGGAUGAAGGGAGCUUGCUCCUGGAUUCAGCGGCGGACGGGUGAGUAAUGCCUAGGAAUCUGCCUGGUAGUGGGGGAUAACGUCCGGAAACGGGCGCUAAUACCGCAUACGUCCUGAGGGAGAAAGUGGGGGAUCUUCGGACCUCACGCUAUCAGAUGAGCCUAGGUCGGAUUAGCUAGUUGGUGGGGUAAAGGCCUACCAAGGCGACGAUCCGUAACUGGUCUGAGAGGAUGAUCAGUCACACUGGAACUGAGACACGGUCCAGACUCCUACGGGAGGCAGCAGUGGGGAAUAUUGGACAAUGGGCGAAAGCCUGAUCCAGCCAUGCCGCGUGUGUGAAGAAGGUCUUCGGAUUGUAAAGCACUUUAAGUUGGGAGGAAGGGCAGUAAGUUAAUACCUUGCUGUUUUGACGUUACCCACAGAAUAAGCACCGGCUAACUUCGUG
rnacentral:rRNA from 1 species